CUUCCUUUAGGAGUCAGUUGUCGUAAAUAUUUUUAACAGCAAAUUCACGUACCACGCUAUUCACCUAUUUAAAGUGUACAGUUCAAUUGUUUUCAGUAUAUACAAAAAAUUGUACAACCAUCACCGCAGUCUAAUUUAGAGCAUUUUUGUCCUCCUCUAAAGAACCCUGUACUCAUGAGCAAUCUCUCCUUGCUCCGACCCCUCUAGCCCUCAGCAACCACUAAUCUUUUUUUGUCUUUAUGGAUUUGCCUAUUCUGGACAUUUCAUAUAAAUGGAAUCACACAUUAUGUGGUCUUUCGUGACUAGCUGCUUUCACUUGGCAGAAUGUUUUCAAGGUUCUCCUGUCUUGUAGCACGGAUCAGUGCUGGAGUCAGUUAUUCAAUGCUGCAUCCUGAGUUCGCGUAAAACCACCUAAAAUAUGAGUCCCCCACUUCAGGAAGCGCUGCUGUAAUGAAUAAAGAACGUUUUGGGGGAAUCUUAGCUCAGUCUCUUGCUAGUUCCGAGCGGGCUGGUUCAGGCUUCCCUGCCAUGGUGUUGGGGGAGGAGGUUUAUCUUUCAGCUGUCCUUGGGACUGGGCAGGAACUGGUUCCAAUGUUACUGCCACUCUAUCCUCCUUCCUAAAUCAGGACUCUGGGCGCUCCUGGGAAUCACUGUCUGUUCCUGCUCUCUGGGAGUGUGAAUGAGUCACUGGGUGAGCAUGUCAGCAGCACCUGUGUGUGCUGGUCUGGGGUGAGAAGCCUGGGCCAAGGGGCAACGGAGGGGAGAAAGAAGCAGGCGGCCACGAGGUCAGCAAGUGGCUGCUCGACUCAUACCCCGCAGCCAGCAUUCCCUGCCUCUACCCUUACACUUGUUUUGGCUGCAGGAAGCUGUUUUAGGUGGAAAUCGUUUGAUACGUGUAGGUGCUGUCUUCCCAAACACACCGUGCUCAGUGAUUGCCCCAGCUCUGCAGUAUGUACUUUUUGUAGUUCUUGGUAGCUACCAACGUUUUCAGCCCCUAAAUAGUAUAGUACUUGUUUUAAUCCUCUCAUGGAUUGUGUGAGGUAGGUGAUCUUUUCCGCAUUCACAGACGGGAAACUGAGCUUCAGGAUGGUCACAUGACUUGUCCAAGGUCUUAUGAUUAGGAAUCGUUGCGGCUGGGAUUUGAACUGGAGUGCAAAGCGUUUGCUCUUGACCCAAUAGGAAGGCAGAGGCUGUGGUGGGGAGCAGCUUGGUUAUGGAUACCCAGAAGGCAGAGCCGUCUCUUGUGUACCACGAAACGGGGCAUUUACCUUGGGUACUCUCUUUGGAGUGUGUUACUGGAGCUUGAGCAGAGACUUGGGGAAUCUUCUGGGGAUGAGGCCAGUAAUGUGUUGGGAACACUCAUGGAGAUGAGGAACACUCAGUGUUAUGUUUUGGAGCCUUGCCCUAUACCCAAGGACCUCCAAGUCUUUCUAUUAGUCAAGACCCUUUGGGAAAUGAGUGAAAGAACUCAACCAACUUGAACAAAGAGAAUUGAUCGAUUCAUGUAAAGAAAAUAUCCAGGAUAAGACUGCCUUCAGGUAUGGCUGGAUCCAGGGGUUUAAAGGUUGAAGCUGCUGCCUCACCUCACAACCCCGGUUCAUAUUCCUGAAUCAAUUGGGGAGUUGUGUAGGGGGAAUGCUGUUUUGAUUGGCUGGUGCCGGGUCAGGUGCAUAUCCUUGGAAGUGAAGGCAUGGUCAUUCCUACUUGAACCACAUAAACCAAGAAGGAAACCUGGGACCCUUGCCUCAGAAGCAGUGGAAAGGGAUGCUGAGCAGGUUUCAGACCAUAGGUAUCCUCCUCGUGGUUGGUAGAGAAGCCACCAUUCACCUCUCUGGCUUUACUGCCAACUUGCCAUGGGACCCCGAGCAAGCUGCUUCCCUUCUCUGAGUCUCAGUUUCCCCAUGUGAACAGUGGUGAUCUUUAAGGGCUCAUACAGCUCUGAACUUCUGAGGCCAACAGGUUUUGUCUAGCCAACAGCUUGGCAUCCUAGCUUGACAGAUCCAAGCUAUGACUUAGGAAUGCAUGGCCUUCAGAAACCCUGGGGUGGGAUCUGGGGCUGGGUGCUUGGCCUCUUGUUCUUGCCCAUCCUGGCAGGGUACAGCCUGUGAUGUGGGAGGGAAGGGUUCUGAGGAGGGUUCUUUGCACAUCCCCAGCAUUCUCCGUCUAUAAUUGGCUCCAAAUGAAAUGAUCUCAUCCCUGAGCACUGAGGAAGAAAGGGUGGGGGUGAAACAGCUCGCUGGCAGCAUCUGACAUAGUUUGUGACUAACCCGCUUCCCUCCUGAGGCAGGGAGAGACUGUCCGCUCUCUCGAAGACAAUGUACAAUUUUGAGAAAAAAAACAACAAAGUCUUGGUAAAUAGAUUGAGGAGGCUCCAGCCUCCUGAGCUUUCGGGAGGCCCAAGGCAUUUCUCCUCUCUGCCCAAACCAGGUGUCUUUUUGACCCCGGCUCACAAGUCAACCUGACCCAUGCUAUUACCAAUCCCCAAACUUUUCCCAUCAAACUCUGGCCGGGAAGGUUGUGAGUGUAGCCAGUCCACCAAGCAAUUUGUCCCUUAUGGAUUCUUGAUUGAGUUUUGUGGCCGACUGAAGCUUGUUUAAAUGCCCAUACAUUAAUUUUGAAAGAUGAGCUCCUAAUCAACUUUUAAAAAGCUUGUCACAGCACCAUCUGUUUGGCGUUUGUCACUAUUGCAUUACAUAAGAGGAAAGACAUUUUUAAAGAAUGCGGCUACAUUUAGUAAUUGGAUCGCCGGAGAGGAGCCAAGCCGGGGCGGAUGGCACCGUGAUUCAGAAAUGCCACGGGCCCUUCUCUGGGGUGUGGCGGCCUCCCCAAAUUCCACGCGGUCUUGGCAGAGACCUGAGUGCAGCCCAGCUUGGGAGACAGGCUUGGGGUGUCUUCUCUUCCUCUUGCCUUGGUCUCCCUCUUAUUUUUCCCAUUCGUUCUCCCUCACCCCUUGCCACCACAGUAAUUAGCAGUGACCAAGUGGCUUCACUUCCCUGAGUCCCAGCUUCCUCAUCUGGAAAACGGGAUUCACAAGAGCACCAUCUUACAGCGCUGGUGUGAGGUUUAGAUGCAUUAUUGCCUACGGUGCCUGGCACGUGGUUUGCUGUGUUCAGUCACAGAGGCUGUGCCUGCACCAUUCAGGGAGCGCCAUUCACACGGAUUGCAAUGAAAUGGGACCUCCUGGAGCUGUGCAGUGCAGUGGCCCUGAGCAUAGAUAUAAGUAAAUUGAUGUAAAAUGUCUGUGAAAAUGUUCAUAUGUGUAUGUGUCUGGAUAUUUAAAUAUAAGUGACAUGCAAAUAUGUGUAUAUGGAUGUCUUAAAAUGUUGAUAUUUCAUUCCUCAUGGACUUUUGCUUGAAUAUUGGUUUUAAAAAAUAUUGCAUUAGAUAUUAUUUCUCUUGAUUACUCAGUUUUUGGGUGCAUCUUACAUUUGCAUCAGAGGCAAGUGCAUCACUCUGUUUACGGUGGUCCUCACCCUGCCCGGGGCUGGGCAGUGAAUGUGCAGGAGGCAGGGAUGAGGCAAAGGAAGCCUCUCCUGGCUCCUUCCAGCAUCUGGGCUCAUCAGCACAUGACUAGAAUCCAAACCCAACCUGAGCACAUUUUGUUCCUUUAAAACAAUAUUUAUUGAGUGCUGACUGUGCGCCAGGGACUCUGCAUACAUUAUUUUAUUUUAUCCUUACCACUAUCUCUGGGGGUAGAUAUUUGCUCAUUCAAUUGAACAGACAUUUGCUUAGGACAUACUAUGUGCCAAGAGUAUAAGCUGGCAUUUGUGCUGGCCUGGAAGCCACUCGCAAUUUUUCUGGUAACAGCACCCCAGUUUUCCUUUAGAGAACCUAACCUCUUCCCUUUACUGUGGUUCCACCUGGGCCUUCUGUACCCGUCCCUAAGACUCCAGGGGUGGGCGUGUGAUCCAGGUCACCCAAACAGCAUACUCCAUCCCUCUUGCUCCUAUAACUAGAGAUUAGUUAUAGGAUGAGUAUCUGACCCAAGCUGGUCCAAUCAGAGUGAAUCCUGGAAUUUUUGCUGCUCUGUUGGGAAAAAGAGCUCCCUUUCCAUCAAGAUUUCUAGCUGUAAGAAUUCUAUAACCCUGGAAUUCCCAGUGAGAGUCCACUACAAGGAGAGAGAGAGGAAAAACUCAUCCCUUAUGAUAUCUUUAGAGGCCCUGGAUCCAGCCACACCUGAAGUUAGUUGCCCUAAGAUUUUUCAAUUCUAUGAGUUUAUAUUCGUUUUU